UACGACUACAUAUCAGGCAUAUCAAUAAGCGGAGGAAAAGAAACUAACUAGGAUUCCCUCAGUAACGGCGAGUGAAGCGGGAAGAGCUCAAAUUUGAAAUCUUCAAGGUUUCUACCUUGACGAAUUGUAGUUUAAAGAAGUGUUUUCUGUUGAAGUUUUGGUGAAAAGUUCUUUGGAAUAGGACAUCAUAGAGGGUGAGAAUCCCGUAUUUGACCAUUAUUUUCAGCUGUGUGAUACACUUUCAAAGAGUCGGAUUGUUUGGGAAUGCAGUCCAAAAUGGGUGGUAAAUUUCAUCUAAAGCUAAAUAUUGGCGAGAGACCGAUAGCGAACAAGUACCGUGAGGGAAAGAUGAAAAGAACUUUGAAAAGAGAGUUAAACAGUACGUGAAAUUGUCAAAAGGGAAGCGUUUGACACCAGUGUUGUUUUCUCGAAAAUCAAUUAAAAAUAGUUGGAUUUUGUGUUGUAUUGACCUUAACAGCUUGCUUCACUCUUUUCCAGCUUUUUUAAUGCACUUUUCGUUUAACAAGUCAACAUCAGUUUCUUUUGUUGUAAAAGGGUCAUUGGAAGGUGGCUUUCUCUUCGGAGAAAGUGUUUAUAGCCUUUGAUCUCUGCAAUCGGAGAGACUGAGGUCUGCAGCGUAGAUCCUUCGGGGUUAGAUACAUUUGUGCUAAGCUACAGCUUUUCAUAGACAACUUGUUGACUAUGUUUAGUCUUGUGACUUACCCGCUUAUGCUAUUUUACCUACGCUUAGGAUGUUGAGCGCAUGUCUCUCUCU
rnacentral:rRNA from 1 species